rnacentral:lncRNA from 1 species
GAUAGAUAGAUAGAUAGAUAGAUAGAUAGAUAGAUAGAUAGAUAGAUAGAUAGAUAGAUAGAUAGAUAGAUAGAUAGAUAGAUAGAUACAAUAAACAUCAGUUGCUGUGCGUAUCAAAAGGGUAAAUGCUGUCAACUGUAAAGGAUGUGCAAUUAUGCAGUUAUAUAGUAAUUUAGCAGUGCUAACAAUAUAAACAGUGGACAAUAAAUAAACUAUAAACUAUUAGUGCAGAAUAUUGAACAGUCUUAUGUCCUGAGGGACAAAAGACUUCUAUGGUGUAUGUGGAUGUGACACAGUGGAUCGAGAAAUAUUAAAUACUUACCACACAACCUCAGAAAUGGAACAUCCCAUUCAUCUAUCCAUUCGCCUACUAUCAGCCCUCACUCGAAAUCCCAUAAUUCACCUGGCCUUACUGUGACCUCUCACGACUUAUAAAGAUGUGGGCAUUUCCAAACCAUGCCCUAAAGUGGGACCGCAUGAUUUGAUUAAUUAAUAUACUGUUGUCCCAUGACUUUUGGUAUGUCUGUAUUCAUACAAUGUAUAUACCAUUUUAAAUAAAUAAUAUUUUUUUUAUGUAUGUUAAUUUUAUUUCAGGCUUGAUUGUUGGCAUCCUGGGAGGCAUCGUAUUUGCGGUGGCAGUGGUCGUUGCUAUUGCGAUGUUUGUUACUCAAAGGAAGGCAAAACGUGUGGACAUGAAAAAAGUGCCGACGACUGAUAUCGAGAUGAGCUAAACAAGGAAACCUAAAUUCCUGAACUGCGUUUUUAUGUUUUUUACCUCUUUUUUAAAGACUUAUUGAUUUAUUUGAUCACUGUAUGGAAAUUAUGUGAAUAGCCUCCAAUGAUCUAGAGCUAAGGGGCGUCAGUGUGUUUAGUGUAUGUUAAAAAGCGUGCUGUAAUGCUGUAACAAAUGUAAUAAUUCAAUCGUUCUUGUCACACAAAAACACAAAAAAGAACCUGUCAAAAAAAAAUAUUAUCUUUUAUAAUAUAAAAAGACUUAAAGCCAUUUUUUUUAUUUUGGAACAAUUCUAUGGGUUCAUUCAUCAUAAAAUUUUAACAUGACUUUCAGAUUAUUGUUAAAAAGAGAACAAUAGCGUUAAAAUAAAAAAGAGUUCUAAUUUUUUUGUGACAGUAACAAAAGGUUUAUUAUGACAUUUGUGUAGUAAUUCACAAAUUAAAAUAUUUUAACCUCUUGUAAUUAAUCAGACUGUUAUUGUUACUGUGCCUUCAAGAAAGAUAUAUGUAAAUGAC